rfam:Asian citrus Psyllid, Diaphorina citri - Florida Strain, whole genome shotgun sequence.
GCCUCGGUGGCGUAGUGGUCAAGACGCUCGCCUGGUAAUCUGGAGGGCGUGGGUUCGAUCCCAGCCGAGGCA